GCGAUGAAGGACGUGCUAAUCUGCGAUAAGCGUCGGUAAGGUGAUAUGAACCGUUAUAACCGGCGAUUUCCGAAUGGGGAAACCCAGUGUGAUUCGUCACACUAUCAUUAACUGAAUCCAUAGGUUAAUGAGGCGAACCGGGGGAACUGAAACAUCUAAGUACCCCGAGGAAAAGAAAUCAACCGAGAUUCCCCCAGUAGCGGCGAGCGAACGGGGAGCAGCCCAGAGCCUGAAUCAGUGUGUGUGUUAGUGGAAGCGUCUGGAAAGGCGUGCGAUACAGGGUGACAGCCCCGUACACAAAAAUGCACAUGCUGUGAGCUCGAUGAGUAGGGCGGGACACGUGGUAUCCUGUCUGAAUAUGGGGGGACCAUCCUCCAAGGCUAAAUACUCCUGACUGACCGAUAGUGAACCAGUACCGUGAGGGAAAGGCGAAAAGAACCCCGGCGAGGGGAGUGAAAAAGAACCUGAAACCGUGUACGUACAAGCAGUGGGAGCACGCUUAGGCGUGUGACUGCGUACCUUUUGUAUAAUGGGUCAGCGACUUAUAUUCUGUAGCAAGGUUAACCGAAUAGGGGAGCCGAAGGGAAACCGAGUCUUAACUGGGCGUUAAGUUGCAGGGUAUAGACCCGAAACCCGGUGAUCUAGCCAUGGGCAGGUUGAAGGUUGGGUAACACUAACUGGAGGACCGAACCGACUAAUGUUGAAAAAUUAGCGGAUGACUUGUGGCUGGGGGUGAAAGGCCAAUCAAACCGGGAGAUAGCUGGUUCUCCCCGAAAGCUAUUUAGGUAGCGCCUCGUGAAUUCAUCUCCGGGGGUAGAGCACUGUUUCGGCAAGGGGGUCAUCCCGACUUACCAACCCGAUGCAAACUGCGAAUACCGGAGAAUGUUAUCACGGGAGACACACGGCGGGUGCUAACGUCCGUCGUGAAGAGGGAAACAACCCAGACCGCCAGCUAAGGUCCCAAAGUCAUGGUUAAGUGGGAAACGAUGUGGGAAGGCCCAGACAGCCAGGAUGUUGGCUUAGAAGCAGCCAUCAUUUAAAGAAAGCGUAAUAGCUCACUGGUCGAGUCGGCCUGCGCGGAAGAUGUAACGGGGCUAAACCAUGCACCGAAGCUGCGGCAGCGACGCUGAUGCGUUGUUGGGUAGGGGAGCGUUCUGUAAGCCUGCGAAGGUGUGCUGUGAGGCAUGCUGGAGGUAUCAGAAGUGCGAAUGCUGACAUAAGUAACGAUAAAGCGGGUGAAAAGCCCGCUCGCCGGAAGACCAAGGGUUCCUGUCCAACGUUAAUCGGGGCAGGGUGAGUCGACCCCUAAGGCGAGGCCGAAAGGCGUAGUCGAUGGGAAACAGGUUAAUAUUCCUGUACUUGGUGUUACUGCGAAGGGGGGACGGAGAAGGCUAUGUUGGCCGGGCGACGGUUGUCCCGGUUUAAGCGUGUAGGCUGGUUUUCCAGGCAAAUCCGGAAAAUCAAGGCUGAGGCGUGAUGACGAGGCACUACGGUGCUGAAGCAACAAAUGCCCUGCUUCCAGGAAAAGCCUCUAAGCAUCAGGUAACAUCAAAUCGUACCCCAAACCGACACAGGUGGUCAGGUAGAGAAUACCAAGGCGCUUGAGAGAACUCGGGUGAAGGAACUAGGCAAAAUGGUGCCGUAACUUCGGGAGAAGGCACGCUGAUAUGUAGGUGAAGCGACUUGCUCGUGGAGCUGAAAUCAGUCGAAGAUACCAGCUGGCUGCAACUGUUUAUUAAAAACACAGCACUGUGCAAACACGAAAGUGGACGUAUACGGUGUGACGCCUGCCCGGUGCCGGAAGGUUAAUUGAUGGGGUCAGCGCAAGCGAAGCUCUUGAUCGAAGCCCCGGUAAACGGCGGCCGUAACUAUAACGGUCCUAAGGUAGCGAAAUUCCUUGUCGGGUAAGUUCCGACCUGCACGAAUGGCGUAAUGAUGGCCAGGCUGUCUCCACCCGAGACUCAGUGAAAUUGAACUCGCUGUGAAGAUGCAGUGUACCCGCGGCAAGACGGAAAGACCCCGUGAACCUUUACUAUAGCUUGACACUGAACAUUGAGCCUUGAUGUGUAGGAUAGGUGGGAGGCUUUGAAGUGUGGACGCCAGUCUGCAUGGAGCCGACCUUGAAAUACCACCCUUUAAUGUUUGAUGUUCUAACGUGGACCCGUGAUCCGGGUUGCGGACAGUGUCUGGUGGGUAGUUUGACUGGGGCGGUCUCCUCCUAAAGAGUAACGGAGGAGCACGAAGGUUGGCUAAUCCUGGUCGGACAUCAGGAGGUUAGUGCAAUGGCAUAAGCCAGCUUGACUGCGAGCGUGACGGCGCGAGCAGGUGCGAAAGCAGGUCAUAGUGAUCCGGUGGUUCUGAAUGGAAGGGCCAUCGCUCAACGGAUAAAAGGUACUCCGGGGAUAACAGGCUGAUACCGCCCAAGAGUUCAUAUCGACGGCGGUGUUUGGCACCUCGAUGUCGGCUCAUCACAUCCUGGGGCUGAAGUAGGUCCCAAGGGUAUGGCUGUUCGCCAUUUAAAGUGGUACGCGAGCUGGGUUUAGAACGUCGUGAGACAGUUCGGUCCCUAUCUGCCGUGGGCGCUGGAGAACUGAGGGGGGCUGCUCCUAGUACGAGAGGACCGGAGUGGACGCAUCACUGGUGUUCGGGUUGUCAUGCCAAUGGCACUGCCCGGUAGCUAAAUGCGGAAGAGAUAAGUGCUGAAAGCAUCUAAGCACGAAACUUGCCCCGAGAUGAGUUCUCCCUGACUCCUUGAGAGUCCUGAAGGAACGUUGAAGACGACGACGUUGAUAGGCCGGGUGUGUAAGCGCAGCGAUGCGUUGAGCUAACCGGUACUAAUGAACCGUGAGGCUUAACCUUACAACGCCGAAGGUGUUU
rnacentral:rRNA from 1 species